rnacentral:rRNA from 1 species
GUCCACGCCCUAAACGAUGUCGACUGGUUGUUGGGGUUUGACACUCUCAGUAACGAAGCUAACGCGUGAAGUCGACCGCCUGGGGAGUACGGCCGCAAGGUUAAAACUCAAAGGAAUUGACGGGGACCCGCACAAGCGGUGGAUUAUGUGGAUUAAUUCGAUGCAACGCGAAAACCUUACCUACCCUUGACAUGUCCUGGAGGCCGAAGAGAUUCGGUUGUGCCCGAAAGGGAACGGGAACACAGGUGCUGCAUGGCUGUCGU